rnacentral:rRNA from 1 species
UACGUAGGGUGCAAGCGUUGUCCGGAAUUAUUGGGCGUAAAGAGCUUGUAGGCGGUUUGUCGCGUCUGCUGUGAAAACUCAGGGCUUAACCCUGAGCUUGCAGUGGGUACGGGCAGACUAGAGUGCGGUAGGGGAGACUGGAAUUCCUGGUGUAGCGGUGAAAUGCGCAGAUAUCAGGAGGAACACCGGUGGCGAAGGCGGGUCUCUGGGCCGUAACUGACGCUGAGGAGCGAAAGCAUGGGGAGCGAACAGG